AGCGAACGCUGGCGGCAGGCCUAACACAUGCAAGUCGAACGAACCUUUCGGGGUUAGUGGCGGACGGGUGAGUAACACGUGGGAACGUGCCUUUAGGUUCGGAAUAACUCAGGGAAACUUGUGCUAAUACCGAAUGUGCCCUUCGGGGGAAAGAUUUAUCGCCUUUAGAGCGGCCCGCGUCUGAUUAGCUAGUUGGUUGAGGUAAUGGCUCACCAAGGCGACGAUCAGUAGCUGGUCUGAGAGGAUGAUCCGCCACAUUGGGACUGAGACACGGCCCAAACUCCUACGGGAGGCAGCAGUGGGGAAUCUUGCGCAAUGGGCGAAAGCCUGACGCAGCCAUGCCGCGUGAAUGAUGAAGGUCUUAGGAUUGUAAAAUUCUUUCACCGGGGACGAUAAUGACGGUACCCGGAGAAGAAGCCCCGGCUAACUUCGUG
rnacentral:rRNA from 1 species